rnacentral:rRNA from 1 species
AUUGAACGCUGGCGGCAUGCCUUACACAUGCAAGUCGAACGGUAACAGGUUAAGCUGACGAGUGGCGAACGGGCGAGUAAUGUAUCGGAACGUGCCCAGUCGUGGGGGAUAACUUCUCGAAAGAGCAGCUAAUACCGCAUACGACCUGAGGGUGAAAGCGGGGGAUCGCAAGACCUCGCGCGAUUGGAGCGGCCGAUAUCAGAUUAGGUAGUUGGUGAGGUAAAGGCUCACCAAGCCGACGAUCUGUAGCUGGUCUGAGCGGACGACCAGCCACACUGGGACUGAGACACGGCCCAGACUCCUACGGGAGGCAGCAGUGGGGAAUUUUGGACAAUGGGCGCAAGCCUGAUCCAGCCAUGCCGCGUGCGGGAAGAAGGCCUUCGGGUUGUAAACCGCUUUUGUCAGGGAAGAAAAGGUUCUGGCUAAUACCUGGGACUCAUGACGGUACCUGAAGAAUAAGCACCGGCUAACUACGUG